CUUAUAUUCUGUAGCAAGGUUAACCGUAUAGGGGAGCCGAAGGGAAACCGAGUCUUAACUGGGCGUUAAGUUGCAGGGUAUAGACCCGAAACCCGGUGAUCUAGCCAUGGGCAGGUUGAAGGUUGGGUAACACUAACUGGAGGACCGAACCGACUAAUGUUGAAAAAUUAGCGGAUGACUUGUGGCUGGGGGUGAAAGGCCAAUCAAACCGGGAGAUAGCUGGUUCUCCCCGAAAGCUAUUUAGGUAGCGCCUCGUGAACUCAUCUUCGGGGGUAGAGCACUGUUUCGGCUAGGGGGUCAUCCCGACUUACCAACCCGAUGCAAACUGCGAAUACCGAAGAAUGUUAUCACGGGAGACACACGGCGGGUGCUAACGUCCGUCGUGAAGAGGGAAACAACCCAGACCGCCAGCUAAGGUCCCAAAGUCACAGUUAAGUGGGAAACGAUGUGGGAAGGCCCAGACAGCCAGGAUGUUGGCUUAGAAGCAGCCAUCAUUUAAAGAAAGCGUAAUAGCUCACUGGUCGAGUCGGCCUGCGCGGAAGAUGUAACGGGGCUAAACUGUGCACCGAAGCUGCGGCAGCGACGCUUAUGCGUUGUUGGGUAGGGGAGCGUUCUGUAAGCCUGCGAAGGUGUCCUGUGAGGGAUGCUGGAGGUAUCAGAAGUGCGAAUGCUGACAUAAGUAACGAUAAUGCGGGUGAAAAGCCCGCUCGCCGGAAGACCAAGGGUUCCUGUCCAACGUUAAUCGGGGCAGGGUGAGUCGACCCCUAAGGCGAGGCCGAAAGGCGUAGUCGAUGGGAAACGGGUUAAUAUUCCCGUACUUGGUGUUACUGCGAAGGGGGGACGGAGAAGGCUAUGUUGGCCGGGCGACGGUUGUCCCGGUUUAAGCGUGUAGGCUGGUUUUCCAGGCAAAUCCGGAAAAUCAAG
rnacentral:rRNA from 1 species